GAUGAACGCUGGCGGCGUGCUUAACACAUGCAAGUCGAACGAAGCACUUGAAUGGAAUUCUUCGGAAGGAAGCUCAAGUGACUGAGUGGCGGACGGGUGAGUAACGCGUGGGUAACCUGCCUCAUACAGGGGGAUAACAGUUAGAAAUGACUGCUAAUACCGCAUAAGCACACGUGAUCGCAUGAUCGAGUGUGAAAAACUCCGGUGGUAUGAGAUGGACCCGCGUCUGAUUAGCUAGUUGGUGGGGUAAUGGCCCACCAAGGCGACGAUCAGUAGCCGGCCUGAGAGGGUGAACGGCCACAUUGGGACUGAGACACGGCCCAAACUCCUACGGGAGGCAGCAGUGGGGAAUAUUGCACAAUGGGGGAAACCCUGAUGCAGCGACGCCGCGUGAAGGAUGAAGUAUUUCGGUAUGUAAACUUCUAUCAGCAGGGAAGAAAAUGACGG
rnacentral:rRNA from 1 species